AGAGUUUGAUCAUGGCUCAGAACGAACGCUGGCGGCAGGCCUCAAACAUGCAAGUCUAGGGGACGUAGCAAUACGUCACCGGCGGACGGGUGCGUAACACGUGGGAACAUACCUUUCGGUACGGAACAACUGAGGGAAACUUCAGCUAAUACCGUAUACGCCCGUAAGGGGAAAGAAUUUCGCCGAAAGAUUGGCCCGCG
rnacentral:rRNA from 1 species